GUGGGGUCGUUACCUCAAAAGGUCCUGCUCAAGUGUAUGAAGAGGGACGUGGACAGGUUAAGGGAGUUAGUGCCAGGGGUUAUGGUAGUAUGGUCGGAAAUGGUUCCGAGGUUGUACUGGCGGCACGCGCGGAAUCCCUCCGCGGUGGCGAAAAUUAAGGGUAAGGUUAACAAGGUGAUGGCAGCGUAUGUGAGGCGGUCAGGGGGGGUUGUGUUCAGGCACAGGGAGUUGGAAGACAUGCUCCCAGGUUAUUAUAGGAGUGAUGGGGUCCAUCUGACCAAUGUGGGUUUGGACUUUUUGUUGCUGGGUUUCCAGG